CGUUGCAUGGUCAAACUGGUUAAGGCAUCGCCGUUUAGAGUCAAAGAUGCGGGUUCGAGUCCCGCUGGAACGG
rfam:Operophtera brumata OBRT01_Sc00781, whole genome shotgun sequence.